rnacentral:rRNA from 1 species
GAUGAACGCUGGCGGCGUGCCUAAUACAUGCAAGUCGAGCGAACAGACGAGGAGCUUGCUCCUCUGACGUUAGCGGCGGACGGGUGAGUAACACGUGGAUAACCUACCUAUAAGACUGGGAUAACUUCGGGAAACCGGAGCUAAUACCGGAUAAUAUAUUGAACCGCAUGGUUCAAUAGUGAAAGACGGUUUUGCUGUCACUUAUAGAUGGAUCCGCGCCGCAUUAGCUAGUUGGUAAGGUAACGGCUUACCAAGGCAACGAUGCGUAGCCGACCUGAGAGGGUGAUCGGCCACACUAGAACUGAGACACGGUCCAGACUCCUACGGGAGGCAGCAGUAGGGAAUCUUCCGCAAUGGGCGAAAGCCUGACGGAGCAACGCCGCGUGAAUGAUGAAGGUCUUCGGAUCGUAAAACUCUGUUAUUAGGGAAGAACAAAUGUGUAAGUAACUAUGCACGUCUUGACGGUACCUAAUCAGAAAGCCACGGCUAACUACGUG